CUAGUAACUGCGAGUGAAGCGGGAAAAGCUCAAAUUUAAAAUCUGGCGGUCCUUGGCCGUCCGAGUUGUAAUCUAGAGAAGUGUUACCCGCGUCGGACCGUGUACAAGUCUCCUGGAAUGGAGCGUCAUAGAGGGUGAGAAUCCCGUCUUUGACACGGACUACCGAGGCUUUGUGGUGCGCUCUCAAAGAGUCGAGUUGUUUGGGAAUGCAGCUCAAAAUGGGUGGUAAAUUCCAUCUAAAGCUAAAUAUUGGCGAGAGACCGAUAGCGAACAAGUACCGUGAGGGAAAGAUGAAAAGAACUUUGGAAAGAGAGUUAAACAGUACGUGAAAUUGCUGAAAGGGAAACGCUUGAAGUCAGUCGCGUCCUCCGGGAAUCAGCCUUCCUUCUGGUUGGUGUACUUCCUGGUGGACGGGCCAGCAUCAGUUUUGACCGGUGGAAAAAGUUCGAGGGAAUGUGGCACCUUCGGGUGUGUUAUAGCCCUCGUUCGUAUACAUCGRUUGGGACUGAGGAACUCAKCACGCCGCAAGGCCGGGAUUCGUCCACGUUCGUGCUUAGGAUGCUGGCAUAAUGGCUUUAAUCGACCCGUCUUGAAACACGGACCAAGGAGUCUAACAUGCCUGCGAGUGUUUGGGUGGAAAACCCGASCGCGUAAUGAAAGUGAAAGUUGAGAUCACUGUCAUGGGGAGCAUCGACGCCCGGACCAGACG
rnacentral:rRNA from 1 species